rnacentral:tRNA from 1 species
GCGGACAUGGCGAAAUUGGCAGACGCGCAGGACUUAGAAUCCUGUGGGAAACCGUGCAGGUUCAAGUCCUGUUGUCCGCACCA